UACAGAGGGUGCGAGCGUUAAUCGGAAUUACUGGGCGUAAAGCGCGCGUAGGCGGCUUUGCAAGUCGGGUGUGAAAUCCCCAGGCUUAACCUGGGAACUGCAUUCGAGACUGCAUUGCUAGAGUAUGGGAGAGGGAAGUGGAAUUUCCGGUGUAGCGGUGAAAUGCGUAGAUAUCGGGAGGAACAUCAGUGGCGAAGGCGGCUGCCUGGCCCAAUACUGACACUCAGGUGCGACAGCGUGGGGAGCAAACAGG
rnacentral:rRNA from 1 species